rnacentral:lncRNA from 1 species
UUUAGAAAUUGAGACAGAAAACACAACAAAAGAAAGCAUCAAAUUCCAUAAUUCCCCUAAUUCCAGAUAUUCAGGUCAAAGGAACUAAGCUGAACUCACAAUCAUUUGAUGUCACAGUUUUAUUUUCGCUUCUAUUAAACACAAUAUGGAGUUCACCUGAUUAAAAUCAUGUUCAGAUUUUACCAAACAACCACAAAAAGUUGUCCAGGAACCGCAAAUAGUGAUACUAGUACUUAACUGCUGGUGUCGAUAAAGACAGCAGCAUAGUUAAGGUGAAAAAUAUCAGGCAUAUCCAUCUAUUGAAUGAGGAAACAUAAAAGGUUUGAACAAAUUUGAUUCAAUACAAAUUGGCUAUAUCUAUUUGACAAGAGGAUGGUCAUUUUAACUCUACAUUACAAGCAGAAAAUCCUUGUUUACUACUACUACACAAAAUGGUUAAGAAAAAAACAAGGAAUUGUUUUCACUUUUUCUACUAUAUCUAAAUCUCUCUCAUUUCUAAUCUUAUUCCUUUACAAAAUUCCAUGGGCAGAAGAAUUUGCAUCAUGACCCUACUUAUCAUGAUCUCCUCACGCAGGAAGCGAGAUCAAUGAAACAUUCCCUUUGCAAGGUAUUGUGCGACCACCCAUUGGAUGAUCAAAGCUAAAUCUAUUCCUCAGAUUGAGUUGACAAGUCUUGAAAUAAAGGAUGGCUCAAGAAUGAUUCUGGCACCACAAAUCGCUUUUUCUGGUUCUCUCCUACAUAUACUGCACAAUGCCCUUUCGGAACACCUCCAGACAUUGAAGACCUUUUUAAGAACCGAUUAGCCUGAAUAAAUGGAGUCACUUUGAUACCCAUCGUCUCCAGGGAUAUUUGGUAACUCCAAAUGCUGAAGAAAAAGAAAGAACAAGAAUUCACAAAAAUGGACGCUUGCGUUUUGCUCAAAUCCUUUGUGUCCGAAUAUAUAUGAGUUAAUGGCAAACCUAAGUGGUGAAAGACAAUAACACAUGAAGUUUUCACAUGGUUUUGCCUAGUCUGUUAUUAUCAAAGCAUUAACACCAUAAGUUUGUUGGACUUGAAACAGAAGACACCACUAAAAUAGAAGACACAAGAAUUGAUGACUUAGACCUGGACCACGUGGUUUAAAGAUAGGGCUCAACCUCUUUUCUUAAAACUAAACAACCAGACAUGUCCACAAUUCUUAAGGUCCCAUACUAACAAAAGCACAUGGUCUUCCUGCUUAUCUCAAAUUGGCAAUUUUAGCUACCAUUAAAAUUAGCCUUAAACUUUGUAUAAACUAUUUCCACUAGACACUUUGGUCAAUCUACAGCCUAAAGGUCAUCUAUCUACAUGACAAAGAAGAGAGCGCAGAACAUGGUUUUGCGUCCUACCAGAAAUUGUUCAUUUAAUGGUCUCAAAUUAUUGGCAUUGGUGAAAAAUACCUAGUUUGAGCUGAUAACAUAACUAGUAGGCCUACUUGGUUGUUGAUCAAAGGGAAGAAAUAAAAAAACUCAUCCACAAAUUUAAGGCCCCAUAUCAACACGACCAACAGGCAUCAGCACCUGGCUUUGCCUAACUAACUUAUCAGUAACCUCUAAUUGUAUAAAUAAUCCCUCUUUCAUGAGCCUUUUCAUCAUCAAGCACACACAUUAUCUGUUAAGCCAUCAAAGUUCUCUAAAUUUGUUAUUUACUUUCUUGUUUCCAGUUUCACAUAAAAAGAAAAAAUGGCAAUGAUCAGUACCAAGAAACUUAUCAAAAUGGCUAGGAAAUGGCAGAAGUUUGCAACCAAGCAGAGGAAGAGGAUCUCACUUACAAGAAAUGGUAGUGAUGCUGACGGUUGCAGUAUGUCCUCACCCUCUAUAGUCGGAAAAGGUCAUUUUGUAGUAUACACAAUUGAUCAAAUGCGCUUCGUGAUUCCCUUGGAUUAUCUUGAAAAUGAGGUAAUCAGGCAACUUUUAAUCAUAUCCGAAGAAGAGUUUGGCCUGUCAAGUGCUGGACCCAUUACAUUACCAUGCGAUUCAUCCUUCAUGGACUAUAUUAUUUCACUUAUCAAGAAUGGUGUAGCUGCAGGAGAUCUUCACAAGGCGUUGCUCCUCUCAAUUCCUUCAUGUUGCUGUUCAACUUCUUCUUUGCAGCAAGAAAGUCAAAACCAGCAACUUCUUGUUUAUUGAGUCAUGCUACCAUGUUUUGUAAAUGAUAGCUCAAACUAUAUUGUAUAUUAGGUGAAAAAUAGGCAAAUGAAAGCUUGUAGUAUUACAGAAUAAACCAGAUCUAUAGACCUCAUUUAUUCGAUUUAGGAAUUGCGAAGUUUUAACAUUCUCUUCUUGGAGUCGCAUUAUUUUACUGCAGGUAAAACAAAGGUCUGCACCAAAGUACCUUUACCUAUCAAAUUGCACUUUUCAAAGUAAAUAUGCAUGACUAAUACGCAACGUUUUGUUCCUUUUGAAGGUCGCUCAAUUCAGACGAGUGCAGAAUGAAAUGAAUAAAGAAAAUGCAGUUUUAGAGGCUUUUGCAAUUGACAUAACUUAAAGAGUAUUGAAAUGGACAACAUAAUACAGACAGUUGUUGUUCUACCAGAAUUCAAAAGCAUCCACAAAACGGUAAAAGCCGUUCUAAACCAAAUGAACCCAGAGACGUACAAGCAAACACAAAACCAUGGAGGAAUUAAGACAGACUAAAUAUCUAAACUAUCUCAGCUUUCAUUCAGAUAAACAUUUGAGACUUGAAAGUUGUCCCUCACGAGAGUCUUGAGUGAGUAAAAACUUGGAAGAUAUCUAGUCGCUAUAGUUCCAAUACCCCUGCUAAUGGGGAUCAUCGUAAAAGUCAUGUCUUUUGGGUUGUAAGAAAGUAGCUGUGAGCCUUUUUUUCCUUGCAUCAAGAUUUCUCCAUCUUUCCAGAUUAGUAUCGGUAAAUAUUUUUGAAAACAAAUAUCAAGCCCAAAAACUGCCAGCCCCAAACAAGUCAAAAUGCGAACUUUAGUCCAAGAUUCAGCUAUUCCAUACUCUUUCAUCCACGAUAUAUCAAUAUGCCCAUAAAUGCUACCACUAUAGUCAGUUAAACACAGACAAUUCCCCAACUCUACUAGCGUCAAACACGAGGGUGCACACGUAGAUCGCUGCGACUCUGCUUGGGUCAAAAGCUUGAACGGAAAUACCAGACCAGGUGGACCUGGCACAGACUUGAGCUUUUCAGUCUCAAUAUCGAAGGAGUAAAUGCUGUCCUUAUCGACGGGAUCCAUCCAAUGAAGAGCCCCAUUCACACAAACCUGUCCAAAAUCAUGCCAUACAGGACAUGGAACUUGGCCCAAAUUUCUCCAUUUCUCAUCAACUCUAAGAGUAUAAACCUCCAAUUCUAAUACAUCACGAUGACCCUCAAACCUUCUAGUCACUGAUCUCACUAACUUAUACUUUCCAGAGACUUCACUAAAGCAAAAUCCAUAAACACGACAAACACUUUUCUCUAAUUCGGGCAACUUAAGUUUGAAAUACUCACCCAAAAGAGGAUUACUAAUGUAAACUGAAGUAUUUAUAUCAUAUAUAUUAGUCAUCAAACCAAUAAAUCCAUUACAUGAACCAAUUAAUCUCAACAUUGGGUAAUCCUCAACUGGAAUGUCCAUUCUGCGUUUUACUGGUGUGUUAAACUCAGGGCAGCUCACUAAAAUAGGUCUGUUGUGGAGUCUAGAAGAAGAAUCAUCACAAGGCGGUUCGAGUUCAAGAAGCUGACUUAUAUCAUGAUCACGCGAAAACAAAAUGCAGGGAGGAGGCAAUCUUGAUUUAUACAUGGUAAGAAAUAAAGGGUCAGAGAAAAGAUUGUACCAGAGUUUGCAAACUUUCCUAGAGCUUAACAUAAACUCGAUCGGCAAUUUUGAGAGAAUUUCUACCAUAAUCACCCUUGGAAGAUCCAUAAAUCUGGUUCUUCUACGUCUAGGUUUGAAGAAGCUCAGAAUUGGAUUAAAGAGAGCGAAAAGCUUGUCGCUUUUGUGUUUAGGGUUCUCCGCCUCCAUCUCUCUCUCUGUGCAAAUAAGCGUUUUUUCCAAAGAAAAAUGUUCGUCAGAAGCAAGAAAAUGAGCUUCCGUUGUCAAAGUACUUUACCUUUAUACACCAAAUAUAUACUCCCUCCGGUUUGUAUUAUUUGACCCCAUGAAUGUUAGAUCCGGAAUCUAAAUGAACCCCAAAUAGUUAAAAGUGACUGAAAUAGGACAUGAAGUUAAAGUGAUACCAAAAUAGGCUUAGCACACUAUUUUAGAGAGCGCUAUGCUGCCUUUUUAAAGCUAACCCAUUAACUUGAGGGACACUUAAAAAUAUAUCCUAUUUUGGUAUCACUUUAACUUCGUGUCCUAUUCUGAAACAUGCAAUUUCUAGUUUGUUGAAACAAGUGUCAUAAAUUCUGCAAUAGAUAUAUGAUACUCAACAAGUGUACAACAUAAUGUUAUUUGCUUAUUAAUCAGAAGUCCAUAUUCUGACCUCCAAAUUGUUUUAUUCUUUAAUAAUUUAGGAAAAUCCGAUAUAUUUUCUGGUAAAUGCCAUUCAUAUUCAAAUGUACGAAUUACAACCAUUUAGAAUGUAGUAACAAAGCUCAGUGGUUAAUCCUAUGGCACACUAAUUCUUGUUUCUGGUAAAGGUCAUUCAUAUCCAAAUGUACAAAUGGAUCCCACAAGUUUAUCUCAGGCCACAAUACCAGAGUUAGGUCUUGAGAGAUGGAGACACCGUCACAGAUAAGUCAAGAUAUUUACAUGUGUAGUUUCGACUAGCAUAUAACUCAGACGUAAACAAGUCAUAAUAUCAGGAUAUGUUGCAAGACAAACUACCUAUAGAGAACAAGUGGUUUAGCAAGUUUUAAUGAACUAAGAAGACUUUCAAUAGCAAAUAUCUGUAGACUUACAAGACCAUGGUCUACAGCAUGCUUAGAUGGAACUGGAGCGAAGCAGCGUCAAGUUGAAACGAAUGACGGAGCACCUUUACAAUAGCCUAUCUUGCCAAUGAAACUGAACUUGGUAUCUCUGUAGAACAACAAACAUUUCGGUUGCUUCUCUGAAGCUUGUAAAAUUAGGAAUUAGCACUUAGUUGCCGAUGUUAAUAAACCUAGCAGCAAGGUUGUGCAAAAUAUCAAGUGACUUGAAAAAAAUUGCUUAAAUAAAAAUUUGUUACAUCCUUUACAAGCAGAAAAUCCUUGUUUACAAAAUAAUUACAAUAAAAAAAGGAAUUGUUUUCUCUCUUUGUCAAGUCCUGCUCUCUACUAUAUCUCAUCUUUCUCAUUUCUAAUCCGAUUGCUUUACAAAAUUUCAUGGGCAGAAGAAUUUGCACCAUGUCCUACUUAUAAUCUCCUCAAACGGGCAGAAAGAUCAAUGAACACAUCCUCUUUGCAAUGUAUUGUAAGAUCACCCGUUGGAUGAUCAAAGCCAAACUCUUCUUCAGCUUGAGCUAGCAAGUCUUGAAAUGAUGGUUGGUUCAAGUAUGAUACUGGCACGACAAAUCUCUUCUUUUGACUCUCUCCUACAUAUACGGCACAAUGACCUUUUGGAACACCUCCUGAUGUUGAAGACUUCCUUAGGAUUCCCAUUAUCACAAGGUAUAUUUGGUACACUCUAAAUGGUGACGGAAAAGAAAGAACAAGAAUUUGGAGAACUGCACAGAAAAAGAAAGUUUGUUAAGUGUCUGGAUACUUGUGGUUUGCUCAAAUGUUUUGCGUCCAAGUAUAUAUACAAUUUAAUGUCAAGUUUCAUACUCAACAGGUGAGAGAUAGUGGCACAUGAAGUUUCACAUGGUUUUGCCUACUAUGUUAUUGUCAAAGAACUUGCACCAUAAAUUUGUUGUAGAACAACACUAGGUCCCAUUGCUUCUCUUGAUUUUGAACAGAUGACCACCUUUAAAAAUAAGAGCCACAAUAAUGGAUGAAAUUGAUUACUUAGUCCUGGACCACUUGGUUUAAAGAUAUGGUGACAGAGAAUUGAAUAAAUGCAUCAACCUCUUUGAUUAAAACUAGACAACUUAUAAUCCUUCAUCAUUUCAUCCACAAAUUUAAGGCCCCAUAAACAUAGCCAACAAAUAGGCACAUGGCUUUGCCCUCGGUGGUUAGUGACAAAAGCUUAAGCUCCAGCCGAAAGCCUGUCUACAGCCUUUUAUACAAAUAACCCCCUUUCUAUGAUCCAUUUUCAUCGUCAACUACAAGCAUUAUCGAUUCAGACACCAUAUUGUUCUAAAUUUCUAGUUUCCUUUCUUGUUUCCAAUCUUCCAAGAAAAAUGGCAAUGCUCAGCUCUAAGAAACUCAUCAAGAUGGCCAGGAGAUGGCGGAAGUUUGCAGCCAUGCAGAAGAGGAGGAUUUCUUUUCCAAGAAAUGGCAGUAGUGCAGAUGGUUGCAGUACAUCCUCAUCCUCUACAGUGGAAAAAGGCAAUUUUGUAGUCUAUACAAUCGAUCAAAGGCGAUAUGUGUUUCCCCUGGCUUACCUUGAAAAUGAGGGCAUUGCUCAACUUUUAAACAUGUCUGAAGAAGAGUUUGGACUGCCGAGUGGUGGCCCUAUUACAUUACCCUGUGAUUCAGGCUUCAUGGACUACAUCAUUUCGCUAAUCAAGAAAGGUGUAACUGCUGGAGAUCUUCACAGAGCAUUGCUCCUCUCAAUUCCUUCAUGUUGCUCUACUUCAACCUCUUAUUUGCACCAAGAAAGUGGAAACCAACAGCUUCUUGUUUAUUGACUCAUGACGUCAUGUUCUGUAAAUGAUAGCUCAAAAUAGAAUGUAUAGCAGUUGAGAAAUAGGUAACUGAAGGCUUGUAUUAGUACAGAAGGAAUAGAGCUUUAUCUUGAAAUUAACCAGAUCUAUAGCUUUCACUUUCCAAUUUAGUGAUUGAGAAAUUUUAACAUUAUCAUCGCACGAUUAUUUAUUAAAGGCAAUCAGUUUUGUCAAUUGAAACUAACAGAGGAAUGAAUCACACCAUCGGAAGUCUAAUGAAAUGAAAAUUAACUGUAUGGAGUUUAAAUUAAGUGAAAUCAUAAAGUGUUCAUCUGUCCGAUUUUCUUUGCAGUCGACCAUUUAGAAUGUAAUAACAGGCUUAGUCGUUACUCCUACACCACAAUAAUUGGUCACAACUUCGAUUCUUUUUUCUGGUAAUAUGUCAUUCUUAUCCAAAUGUACAAAUGGAUCCUACAAGUGUUCCUCAGGCCACAAUACAAGAGCCCGAGUCUUGAGAAAUGGAGACUUGGUCACAAAUAUAUCAAAUUUACCUGUGUAAUUUCAAUGAGCUUAGAUCUCGGAUGUAAAUAAGUCAUAAUAUCAGGAGACAUUCCAAGACAAACCACCUAUUGACAUCAAGAAGACUUACAACACCAUGGUCUACAAUAUGCUUGGUGGACAUGAAGAGUAAAGCAGCCUCAGUUUUUAACAAAUUGCGGAGAAACUUUACUAUGGCCUAUUUGGCCAAUGAAACAGAAUUUGGUACAUUUGUAGAGCAAAAUACCUUUCUCUUUCUUCUCGGAGAGAAGUCAUUCGAAUCUUAAUAUUUAGAAAUUGAGACAGAAAACACAACAAAAGAAAGCAUCAAAUUCCAUACUUUGCCUAAUUCCAGAUAUUCAGGUCAAAGAAACUAAACUGAACUUACUAUCAUGUGAUUUCAAAGUUCAUUUUCGCUUCUAUUUGACACAAUAUGGAGUUCACCAGCAUAGAAGCAUGCUCAGAUUUACUAUAUAUCUGGAGAUAUGGAGCUUGUAACAUUAAGAAUUUUACCAUACAAAAAGGUGUCCGAAUGUUGACACGAUUUAAUCACGAAAAAAAAACCCCAAAAGCACGAGAUCAAGAAUGAAUCAAGAAAAUAGACGAACCCGAAGCUCCAAAAUCUAACAGUGAACUAAAGGUCAGUCCAAAUCCGAACUCCGGUAAGGUACGAAGGGCAAAAAACCAACAAAACAAGACGGAUUCCGGUGAAACCUUGCGUUUUCCGACCAAGAUGUCCCUAAAUCAAAGGAAGAUCAAGAGAUUUCCGCGAUUAUGAGACUGAUUCGACCGAACUGACGACGGGAAAACUGAUUUCGGCAUAGGUGUCGCCGGAAAAAGCUCAAAAGGGAUCCGGGUUUCUCGCCGUUUUCCCUGUUUCCUCACCGAACCUCCGUCAAAUACCCUCCAUGCUAUCGUUUCUUCUUACUGCGGGCAUGUGUCCGUGUGUGUGAGUGACCAUGAAGAAGUCGAUGGUCAGUGGAGUAGAAGCCCCUUUCCCGUUUUUUUUUUUUAAUGGAAUCCUCUGCUUUUUUUUUGUCAAAAAAAAAAGUGCUG